UGCAAGUCGAACGCACUGACGUCGACCGAAGCUGCUUGCAGUGGACGUUGAUUGACGUGAGUGGCGGACGGGUGAGUAACACGUGGGUAACCUACCCUUAAGUGGGGGAUAACAUUUGGAAACAGAUGCUAAUACCGCAUAACCAUUCAGACCACAUGGUCUGAAUGUAAAAGACGGCCUUUGGCUGUCACUUUUGGACGGACCCGCGGCGUAUUAGUUAGUUGGUAAGGUAACGGCUUACCAAGACAAUGAUACGUAGCCGACCUGAGAGGGUAAUCGGCCACAUUGGGACUGAGACACGGCCCAAACUCCUACGGGAGGCAGCAGUAGGGAAUCUUCCACAAUGGACGAAAGUCUGAUGGAGCAACGCCGCGUGAGUGAAGAAGGUUUUAGGAUCGUAAAACUCUGUUGUUGGAGAAGAACAGGGACUAGAGUAACUGUUAGUCCUUUGACGGUAUCCAACCAGAAAGCCACGGCUAACUACGUGCCAGCAGCCGCGGUAAUACGUAGGUGGCAAGCGUUGUCCGGAUUUAUUGGGCGUAAAGCGAGCGCAGGCGGUUUUUUAAGUCUGAUGUGAAAGCCUUCGGCUUAACCGAAGAAGUGCAUUAGAAACUGGGAAACUUGAGUGCAGAAGAGGACAGUGGAACUCCAUGUGUAGCGGUGAAAUGCGUAGAUAUAUGGAAGAACACCAGUGGCGAAGGCGGCUGUCUGGUCUGUAACUGACGCUGAG
rnacentral:rRNA from 1 species